rnacentral:rRNA from 1 species
CCUACGGGAGACAGCAGUGAGGAAUAUUGGUCAAUGGGCUUACGCCUGAACCAGCCAAGCCGCGUGAGGGAAGACUGCCCUAUGGGUUGUAAACCUCUUUUGUCGGGGAGCAAUUGGCGCUACGUGUAUCGUUCUCUCGAGUACCUUAAGACCAAGCAUCGGCUGCCUCCGUGCCGGCAGCCGCGGUAUUCCGGAGGAUUCGAGGGUUAUCCGGCUUUAUUGGGUUUAAAGGUUUCUUAGGCGGAAUGCCAAGUCAGCGGGAAAAUCGCGGGUCUCACCCGCGCUCCGCCGUUGAAACUGGUGUGCUUGAGUGGGGGAGAAGUAAGCGGAAUGCGUGGUGUAGCGGUGAAAUGCAUAGAUAUCACGCAGAACUCCGAUUGCGAAGGCAGCAUACCGGAGCGCAACUGACGCUGAAGCACGAAAGCGUGGGGAUCGAACAGGAUUAGAUACCCUGGUAGUU